rnacentral:rRNA from 1 species
GAUGAACGCUGGCGGCGUGCCUAAUACAUGCAAGUCGAGCGAAGCGGGGACGGGUGAGUAACACGUGGAUAACCUCCUAUAAGACUGGGAUAACUUCGGGAAACCGGCGCUAAACCGGAUACUUAUAGUUGGAUCUGCGCUGCAUUACGUAGUUGGUAAGGUCAUGUCUUACCAAGGCAACGAUGCAUAGCCGACCUGAGGGGGUGAUCGGCAACAACGGAACUGAGACCCGGUCCAGAGUCCUACGUGAGGCCGCAGUAGGGAAUCGUCCGCAAUGGGCGAAAGCCUGACGGAGCGACGCCGCGGGAGUGAUGAAUGUCUUCGGAUCGUAAAACUCUGUUAUUAGGGAAGCGGUACCUAAUCAGAAAGCCACGGCUAACUACGUGCCAGCCGCCGCGGUAAUUC